rnacentral:rRNA from 1 species
AGAUUGAACGCUGGCGGCAUGCUUUACACAUGCAAGUCGAACGGUAACAGGCCGCAAGGUGCUGACGAGUGGCGAACGGGUGAGUAAUGCAUCGGAACGUGCCCAGUCGUGGGGGAUAACGCAGCGAAAGCUGUGCUAAUACCGCAUACGAUCUAUGGAUGAAAGCGGGGGACCGAAAGGCCUCGCGCGAUUGGAGCGGCCGAUGUCAGAUUAGCUAGUUGGUGGGGUAAAGGCCCACCAAGGCGACGAUCUGUAGCUGGUCUGAGAGGACGACCAGCCACACUGGAACUGAGACACGGUCCAGACUCCUACGGGAGCAGCAGUGGGGAAUUUGGACAAU